AUCAAAAUAGGAACAAUAUUAUUCACACAUAUAAAAAUUCAAAUCACCCAAAACAUAUUGCCAAAAGCAUUAAUUGCACGAGCAAAUUAUUUUCUUAUUUCAUUCUUAUGUAGAAAUCCAUCACACAAGUCGUCUCUUCUCCGCAUUUUGCUUUAAGUCAUGGCUGGUCGACGGCGGCGGCGAACGGAACGGCACAAGCGCAAACACAACAGGACGGUGUAUUUGGUUGGCAACAGUUGCAAUUGUUACAUGGUGGUUCCUUAAACCCAAGUUCUGCACCAAUUAUGAUCAUAUCGUCAGUUGUUUAUGGUUGUAAAUUAUAGUUGUCCAAUAUUCUAUUCGUUUUAAUUUAUGUGAUAUUGUUUGACAGAACACAUAGUUUAAGAAAGAAAAAAAUAUUGUUUCAAAUGUAUGGUCUAAAACAAGUCAUAAAUAUUUGUGUGACUAUAAAUUAAUAAUUAAGUAUAAAUAAUAAUUAAACUUAAAUUAUUUAUAAGUAUAGAAGAAGAUGUCAUCCUUGUUGGAACAAAUUAAAACGGAAAGUGUGCAACAUAAAAUGGGACGGAGGGAGUAAUACUAACAUACCUCGACGAGUCAGUCCGGCGGCGUUGGUGGGAACAGCCGGAGAUAGAACUAGCAUAAAGAUGAUGAUAGUCGCCAGAAGAGUUUUCUCAGAAUUC
rnacentral:lncRNA from 1 species